UUCGCAAUGCCCGAAAGGGUGAUGCAGCAACGCCGCGUGAGGGAUGAAGGCCUUCGGGUCGUAAACCUCUUUCGAUCGGGAAAAACGGCCCUGUGAAGAGCGGGGUCUGAUGGUACCGGUGGAAGAAGCCCCGGCUAACUACGUGCCAGCAGCCGCGGUAAGACGGAGGGGGCAAGCGUUGUUCGGAAUUAUUGGGCGUAAAGGGCGCGUAGGCGGAUCGGCGGGUCUGACGUGAAAUCUCCACCGCUCACCGGGGAGAGGUCGUUGGAAACUACCGAUCUGGAGUUUGGCAGAGGGCCAUGGAAUUCCAGGUGUAGCGGUGGAAUGCGUAGAUAUCUGGAAGAACACCGGUGGCGAAGGCGGUGGUCUGGGCCGAAACUGACGCUGAGGCGCGAAAGCCAGGGGAGCAAACGGGAUUAGAUACCCCGGUAGUCCUAGCCGUAAACGAUGGGCACUAAGUAGAGGGGUUUU
rnacentral:rRNA from 1 species